CUCCUUUUUGAGUUGCUCAAGAGUUUGUGACCAAUUUCCAUAUUUUGGAAAAGUUUGGAUGUGUUUGUGUAAUAGAGGAAAAGCAGAUUCAACAUGCUGGAAGAGCAACUCAAGUGGGGGAAGGGCAAAAGGGUGGAGAAUUCCAGAGAAGGAACAGAAGAGCUGAGAAGAUCCAAGCAGUUACUUCACUUCUCUUUGGGAACUCCUUAAGAGAGGUUGGUCUGAGAGAACCUCUGAGCUCAAUCAUCCUUCUGUGAAUCCAGAUCCCCUGAAACCAGUGGAAAAUAACAGGAGUGGAUAGGACUUUAUCAUAAAGCCAUCCACUCAAGGAAGAUUUCCUUUCUAUACCUCUAAAAAGGAGUUUUUAAAAUACUGAAUGAUGCCUAUGUCAAGUUCAUCAUCUAUGGGUACAUCCCUGGAAAGUAUAUUGCCAAGUUGCCAAGAGCCAAACAAUGACGAUAAGGUAAAGGACCCUCAUGGUGAUACUCAGUGUAACCUCAGUGGACCUGGACAGAAGAGAUGCAAUGCACGGGUGGACCAGAGGCUCCUUCAGCCACUGUCCAGCUCUUCUCAAUGCAGGCUCUCUGCCUAGACACACCCAUCGCUCAUGUGCUCUCAGCUGUUGUCUAACCAUUAAGAGAGCUUCUGUUGUCUGGAAUUCUGAGACUCAGAGGUGCUUCUUCGAUAAGUCACAAAUGAGAAUGAGUCAUGGAAGCUGGGAUUUUGUUCUGGUUCUGCUGUUUACCACCCACGUAAGCUUGGCAAAUCACUUCUGUGAACUUUAAUUCACUCAUCUGUAAAAUGGGCUAAUAAUAUUUCCCCUGCUGACUUCACACGAUUGCUGUGAGGCACAGCUGAGGAAAUAUAUGUGAACUUUCUUCGUAAUUUUAAGGUUCUCUACAAAUGUAACAUGAUGUUAUAAUUGCUGAGGGAAUGGGAUUGGUUUUUGAGAGCCCCUCCAGGGUUAAGGGGCAUUGCAGGGCAGUGGAGAAAGCACUGCUUUCAGUGCAAGAAGAUGUGGGCUCUCCUCUUAGCUCUGUCUUUUACUACCUGGAUGACCUUGGAUAAAUCACUUAGCCUCUAUGGGCCUUACUGUCCUCAUCUGUCAAAUGAAGGGACUGGAUUAGAGUCUCAGAAGUCUCUUCUGACUUGAACUCUAUGAAUCUUCCUUUAAAUCCUACCUCUUAGGAGGUAGAUGGCCAGGGAGAGUCAGAAGUUUAGGGAUGUGUGAGUUGAGUUGAGAAAUAUUUCUUCUAUCAAAAUGCCAUUUGACCUGAAGUACAUACUUAAAUAGAAGGAAGGGCAGAAGUUUUUAGAGGUGCAUCCUACAUGCCAGGCACUGUACUGAGCACUUUUUACACAUAUUAUCUUAUGUGACCCUCACAACAAUCCUGAGAGGGAGGUACUGUUAUUAUCCCUGUUUUACAAUGGAGGAAACUGAAGCAAACAGAGUUUAAGUGACUUGCCUAAUGUCCCACAGAGAGUUUCUGAGGCCCUUUUUGAACUCAGGUUUGUGGGCUCAGAGCUCUGUCUACUGAGCCACCCCAAUGCCUCAAGAAGGAUUUUAAGAAGAAAAAAAAAUGUAAUAUUUAAGACAUGAGGGAGGGGCAACAAGUCAGGAAAACCUGGGUUCAAAUCCUGUGUCUGACACAUGCUGGAUGUGUGAGUGACCCUGUGCAAGUCACUGACCCUCUCAUUACUAUCAUGUAACUCCUACAGAAGUGGCAGGAUAAUUCAUAGAGGUAGAAGAGUAGAGGCUAUUUCUGCAGUAGCACUUCUCUCUAC
rnacentral:lncRNA from 1 species